rnacentral:rRNA from 1 species
CCCUUAGAUGUCCUGGGCCGCACGCGCGUUACACUGAUGCAUUCAACGAGCUUAUAACCUUGGCCGAGAGGCCUGGGCAAUCUUGUUAACGUGCAUCGUGAUAGGGAUAGAUUAUUGAAAUUAUUAAUCUUGAACGAGGAAUUCCUAGUAAACGCAGAUCAUCAAUCUGCAUUGAUUACGUCCCUGCCCUUUGUACACACCGCCCGUCGCACCUACCGAUUGGAUGGUCCGGUGAAGCCGCGGGAUUGUGGUUCUUGCCGCUUUAUUGUAGCGUGACCGCGAGAACUUGUCUAAACCUUAUCAUCUAGAGGAAGGUGAAGUCGUAACA